AUUGAACGCUGGCGGCAGGCCUAACACAUGCAAGUCGAACGAGUGGCGGACGGGUGAGUAAUGUCUGGGAAACUGCCUGAUGGAGGGGGAUAACUACUGGAAACGGUAGAUAAUACCGCAUACCAUCGGAUGUGCCCAGAUGGGAUUAGCUAGUAGGUGGGGUAAAGGCUCACCUAGGCGACGAUCCCUAGCUGGUCUGAGAGGAGGACAAGCCACACUGGCACUGAGACACGGUCCAGACUCCUACGGGAGGCAGCCGUGGGGAUGAUUGCACAAUGGGCGCAAUCCUGAUGCAGCCAUGCCGCGUGUGUGAAGAAGGCCUUCGGGUUGUAAAGCACUUUCAGCGGGGAGGCGUUACCCGCAGAAGAAGCACCGGCUAACUCCGUGCCAGCAGCCGCGGUAAUUC
rnacentral:rRNA from 1 species